rnacentral:rRNA from 1 species
UUUUGAUGUUAAUUUUUGUUGCCUGGGUAGUAUUAGUUAUGUUCUUGAAACUCAAAGAAUUUGGCGGUAUUCUAUCCCCUUCAGAGGAAUCUGCCCCGUGAUCGAUGAUCCGCGUUGGACCUUACUUGAUUUAUUUGUUUGUAUACCGCCGUUGUGGUGAGAAUCAUUUUUAGUGUUUUAAUUUUCUUUUUUCAUUAUUUUGAUUUAUUUCAGGUCAAGGUGCAGCUUUUAUUCAAGUGUGGAGGUGGAUUACAUUUAGUUGUUGAUAUUGGAUUAUUGGUUGUUAUUUAUCAGUAUGAAAGUGGAUUUGAUUGUAAUUUGUUGAAGAUUGUUUUAAUGAUAGUGGUUUUAGUAUAUGUACACAUCGCCCGUCGCUCUCAUUUUUG